rnacentral:RNase_P_RNA from 1 species
GCUACAAGCCAGGCUAUCGACUUGAGUGAUCAGGUAGGAAAGUCCGGACAGCGCAGAGCAAUGCACCGGUGAAGAGCCGGCUUCCAGACCCUGAGCUUGCCGAAGGGUCGGGAAAGAGAUAGUGCCACAGAAAAUAACUACCCUGCCUCGGUGGGGAAAAGGUGAAAAUGUGAGGUAAAAGCUCACAGCUUUUGAUGGUAACAUCAUAGGCGGGUAAACCUUGCAUGCUGAAAUGCCACGUAUAGUACCGUUUGAGGGCUGCUCGCCCAAGGUACAGGGUAGGCAGCUUGAGCCCCGGGGGUAACUUCGGGGACAGAUAAAUGAUAGCCACCCUGAGCUUGUCGAAGGGGACAGAAUCCGGCUUACCGGCUUGUAGCUUUU